AUGGAGUAAAUAAAAUCAUAACAUAGACAAUUAAAUAUAAGAAAUAAUAAUUUCUUAAAGUAUGUGCUAAUCCCCAUGUACCCAAACUUUGUGGACACCCUCUAGAAUAGAGAUCAAUAAAAUAAAGU